rnacentral:rRNA from 1 species
UACGUAGGCAGCAAGCGUUGUUCGGAGUUACUGGGCGUAAAGGGUGUGUAGGCGGUUCUUUUAAGUUUGGUGUGAAAUCUCCCGGCUCAACCGGGAGGGUGCGCCGAAUACUGAGGGACUCGAGUGCGGGAGAGGAAAGUGGAAUUCCUGGUGUAGCGGUGAAAUGCGUAGAUAUCAGGAGGAACACCGGUGGUGUAGACGGCUUUCUGGACCGUAACUGACGCUGAGACACGAAAGCGUGGGUAGCAAACAGG